UACGGGGGGAGCAAGCGUUGUUCGGAUUUACUGGGCGUAAAGGGCGCGUAGGCGGCCAGUGCAAGUCAGUUGUGAAAUCUCCGAGCUUAACUCGGAAAGGUCAACUGAUACUGCUCGGCUAGAGUGCGGAAGGGGCAACUGGAAUUCUUGGUGUAGCGGUGAAAUGCGCAGAUAUCAGGAGGAACACCGGUGGCGAAGGCGGGUCUCUGGGCCGAUACUGACGCUGAGGAGCGAAAGCGUGGGGAGCGAACAGG
rnacentral:rRNA from 1 species